UACGUAGGGUGCGAGCGUUGUCCGGAAUUAUUGGGCGUAAAGGGCUCGUAGGCGGUUUGUCGCGUCGGGAGUGAAAACCCAGGGCUUAACUCUGGGCUGGCUUUCGAUACGGGCAGACUAGAGGUAUGCAGGGGAGAACGGAAUUCCGUGGUGUAGCGGUGAAAUGCGCAGGAUAUCAGGAGGAACACCGGUGGCGAAGGCGGCUCACUGGACCGGAACUGACGCUGAGGAGCGAAGCGUGGGAGCGAACAGGAA
rnacentral:rRNA from 1 species